UGAUUUUUUCCCAGGACAUGUAAAACUAUUGAUAUAUUGAGAGACUUUAUAUGUUAAUACAUAUAUAUAUAAUAUAUGAAUAUAUUUUUUUAAACCUUGUUUAUUUGUAAUUUUUGAAUUUUUCUUUUUUUCGUUAUUUUAUUUUUUUUUUUUUUAAAUAUAAAAAAUAAUAAAUCGAUAAAAGUUAAUCAUAUAAUGUUAAUUUAAAAACAAGUGUAUAUAUUUUUUAUUUUAUUCAUUUUGUAUACUCCACAUAAUUAAAAACAUGUAAGAGAAAAAAAAUUUGCAUUUAUGCAAUACAGUGUUUCUAUUAAAUAAUAUAUAUAUAUAUAUAUAUAUACAUUUAUUAUAUAUUGUUUUACAAAAGGAUUUGAGUGAUGUAAUAGUAAUAGAUUGAUUUAUUGAAUAUUUUAGAGAAAAAUAAAAAAAGUUAAGCAUAUAUAACAUAACAUAAUUAUUGUUUUAAUUUGUAUAUAUGUGGUUAAGUAAUUUAGUUAAAUAGAGAAACAGAAUAAUUAAAUCGAGAACUCAUUAACACUUAUAAUUUUAAUAGAUAAAAAUAAAAACUGCUUCUAAAUAUUAAUAACAAAAUUUAUUAUAAAACAGUUUUUGAGGGUUUUUACUUUUUUAAUUUUACAAUUCUUGAAAUUUUUGUUUUUACCUUCUUUAAAAUAAAAUGUCAGUGGGUGUAGUGCCACUUAACCCAAAACCCUUUUUAAAUAAUUUAGCUGGAAACCGAGUUAUUAUAAAAUUAAAAUGGGGAAUAGAAUAUAAAGGUGAUUUUGCAAAAAAAAAAAAAGAAAAGUAGAAUAUAGUAAUUUUUUUAUGUAUAAUAUUUUUUAUACUCUAUAUAAUACUUAUUUAAAUAUAUUAUUGUAAUUAACACUAUUUUUUUUUUAUAAAUUGUCAUUCGUAGGAAAUUUGAAAUCAUUUGACGCUUAUAUGAAUAUACGGUUAGCAAAUGCUGAGGAAUGGAUUCAUGGUGAAUAUAAAGGAACAUUAGGAGAAAUAUUUUUAAGGUAACAUUAGAUUAUCAUAAAAAACAAUUAUUAAAUAAAACAAAAAUAAUUGGAAGUGUUUUGUGAUAU
rnacentral:lncRNA from 1 species